rnacentral:ncRNA from 1 species
UGAAAGUUUUAUUCUUGCUUAUUUAUUCACUUUUUCUUUAUGUUAUAUGCAAGUUUUGUUUUUUCUAAAUGUUCUUAUUUGCAGUAAUUUAAUUUAAUUAUCAAGUGAUUUUGGAAUUAGUAAUUGAUUAAGUAUUGGCAUAUUUCGUGCCAGCAGCCGCGGUUAUACGAUUAAUGCAAGUGAAUAUUUUUGGUUAAAAUAGUUAUUAAUAUUUUUAGGGUUUAAUUAUAAAUUUAUGAGGUGAAAUUUAAAAUUUUUUUAUAGCUCUUAUUAUGAGUCUGUGAAACUUAAAUAAUAAACUAGGAUUAGAUACCCUAUUAUUUUAAGUGUUAAUUUUGCUUACCUGGAUAAUAUUAGCUAAGAUCUUGAAAUCCAAAGAAUUUGGCGGUAUCUUAUUCCAUCCAGAGGAGCCUGUCUCGUAAUUGAUAGUACACGAUUGACUUUACUUGGUUUAUUUGUUUGUAUAUCUCCGUUAUCAGAAGAUCUUUUUAGGGCUAUAAUUUUCUUAAUCUAUAAUUAUAAAUUAUUUCAGGUCAAGGUGCAGCUUAUAAUCAAGGGAAGAUGGGUUACAAUAAAUUUUUGUUUAUUAUGGAUUUAAUAGUGAAGUCUAUUAAUGAAGGUGGAUUUGGUAGUAAUUUAAUUUAUUUAAUUUAAUUGAUAUUGGCUCUGAGGUGUGUACACAUCGCCCGUCACUCUCGUUAUAUUUAUUAACUCGGGAUUUUAAUUGAGUUAAUUAAGAUUAAAUGAGAUAAGUCGUAACAUAGUAGAUGUACUGGAAAGUGUAUCUAGUAAGAU